rnacentral:rRNA from 1 species
AGAGGGUGCAAACGUUGCUCGGAUUUACUGGGCGUAAAGCGCGUGUAGGCGGACUCGCAAGCCGGUUGUGAAAUCCCUGGGCUCAACCUAGGAACUGCAUCCGAAACUGCUUGUCUUGAGUAAUGGAGAGGGUGGCGGAAUUCCCGGUGUAGAGGUGAAAUUCGUAGAUAUCGGGAGGAACAUCAGUGGCGAAGGCGGCCACCUGGACAUUUACUGACGCUGAGACGCGAAAGCGUGGGGAGCAAACAGGAUUAGAUACCCUGGUAGUCCACGCCGUAAACGAUGAGAACUAGGUGCAGCGGAUAUUGACCUCUGCUGUGCCGUAGCUAACGCGUUUAAGUUCUCCCGCCUGGGGAGUACGGCCGCAAGGCUA